UACGGAGGGGGCUAGCGUUGUUCGGAAUUACUGGGCGUAAAGCGCACGUAGGCGGCUAUUUAAGUCAGAGGUGAAAGCCUGGAGCUCAACUCCAGAACUGCCUUUGAGACUGGAUAGCUAGAAUCUUGGAGAGGCGGGUGGAAUUCCGAGUGUAGAGGUGAAAUUCGUAGAUAUUCGGAAGAACACCAGUGGCGAAGGCGGCCCGCUGGACAAGUAUUGACGCUGAGGUGCGAAAGCGUGGGGAGCAAACAGG
rnacentral:rRNA from 1 species